rnacentral:misc_RNA from 1 species
GAUGAAGAACGUAGCGAAAUGCGAUAAGUAAUGUGAAUUGCAGAGUUCAGUGAAUCAUCGAAUCUUUGAACGCACAUUGCGCCCGCCAGUAUUCUGGCGGGCAUGCCUGUUCGAGCGUCAUUUCAACCAUCAAGCCCCAGGCUUGUGUUGGGGACCUGCGGCUGCCGCAGGCCCUGAAAACCAGUGGCGGGCUCGCUAGUCACACCGAGCGUAGUAGCAUACACAUCGCUCAGGGCGUGCUGCGGGUUCCGGCCGUUAAACCCCUUUUUUACCCAAGGUUGACCUCGGAUCAGGUAGGAAGACCCGCUGAACUUAAGCAUAUCAAUAAGCGGAGGA